AUCAGCUAGUUGGUGAGGUAACGGCUCACCAAGGCUAAGACGGGUAGCUGGUCUGAGAGGACGACCAGCCACACUGGAACUGGGACACGGUCCAGACACCUACGGGUGGCAGCAGUCGAGAAUUUUUCACAAUGGGCGCAAGCCUGAUGGAGCGACGCCGCGUGGGGGAUGAAGGGUUUCGAUCCAUAAACCCCUGUCAUUUGCGAACAAACCUUAUUCAAUAACACUGAAUGAGCUGAUUGUAGUGAAAGAGGAAGGGACGGCUAACUCUGUGCCAGCAGCCGCGGUAAUACAGAGGUCCCAAGCGUUGUUCGGAUUCACUGGGCGUAAAGGGUGCGUAGGUGGCCGUGGAAGUUCGAUGUGAAAGCUCGGAGCUCAACUCCGAAAUGGCAUUGAAUACUCUACGGCUGGAGGGUCGGAGGGGAGACUGGAAUUCUCGGUGUAGCAGUGAAAUGCGUAGAUAUCGAGAGGAACACCAGUGGCGAAGGCGAGUCUCUGGACGACACCUGACACUGAGGCACGAAAGCUAGGGGAGCAAACAGGAUUAGAUACCCUGGUAGUCCUAGCUGU
rnacentral:rRNA from 1 species